UUGACCUCGGAUCAGGUAGGACUACCCGCUGAACUUAAGCAUAUCAAUAAGCGGAGGAAAAGAAACCAACAGGGAUUGCCCCAGUAACGGCGAGUGAAGCGGCAACAGCUCAGAUUUGGAAUCUGGCCCCUAGGGCCCGAGUUGUAAUCUGGAGAGGAUGUUUCUGGCGCGGCGCCUUCCGAGUUCCCUGGAACGGGACGCCGGAGAGGGUGAGAGCCCCGUACGGUUGGACGCCUAGCCUUUGUGAAGCUCCUUCGACGAGUCGAGUAGUUUGGGAAUGCUGCUCAAAAUGGGAGGUAAAUUUCUUCUAAAGCUAAAUACCGGCCAGAGACCGAUAGCGCACAAGUAGAGUGAUCGAAAGAUGAAAAGCACUUUGAAAAGAGGGUCAAACAGUACGUGAAAUUGUUGAAAGGGAAG
rnacentral:rRNA from 2 species